GAUCUCUCUCCAAUACUUCCAGAUUAUGAUUAACAAUUGCUAUUUGCUUAGGAGAGAGAUCUAAGAGCCAAAAAAGAACAAUGAAAAAACUUCCUUGCAUCUCUUCAUCAUAUAUCUUCUUCCCGACUUCUCCUAAAACUUGGGUUACGAGCUAAAUUAACUAUACAGUUCGAGAUUUGAGGAAGAUGACCUAAAAACUUCCUCUCUUUUUCAAAUCAGAAACAUUGGUUGUUGCUUAAACAGAAUAGCCUUCAGUUUGGGGAAUCUCAGUAACUCCCAUACAAGGUGUUGACGUUUCAACAAACACUUAGAGCUUGUAAUCUUUAUGAUUCUGAACCUGAAGGUAUAUAUGAUUAGAUCCAGGGAAGCACCAUUCUUCAGGCGAUAUAGUAAUACCAUUAUCUACGAGCAACAAUAUCUAUAAAUGCAUAACAAUUUUUCAAAUUCUUCUCCUACAAAAUGAUCAGUUGAGCAUCUUUCGAAGAGCUACAAUCAGCCAUACUGCAAAUACAGUUGGUAGAAGCCUCUCGACGAUGCAUUCCAA